CAGUAGCCGCGGUAAUACGUAGGGUGCAAGCGUUAAUCGGAAUUACUGGGCGUAAAGCGUGCGCAGGCGGUUUGUUAAGACAGAUGUGAAAUCCCCGGGCUCAACCUGGGAACUGCAUUUGUGACUGGCAAGCUAGAGUCUGGCAGAGGGGGGUGGAAUUCCGCGUGUAGCAGUGAAAUGCGUAGAUAUGCGGAGGAACACCGAUGGCGAAGGCAGCCCCCUGGGCCAACACUGACGCUCAUGCACGAAAGCGUGGGGAGCAAACAGGAUUAGAUACCCCCGUAGUCCCUGUCUCUUAUAA
rnacentral:rRNA from 1 species